UGCAGAGCCAUGCCUCCUCUAUCUGGCCAGCACACCGCAGGAGGCCAUAUUCCUCUGCCUCAGUCGCCCCAGGGCCAGGUACCAGGCAUCUAGGGACCACCCUUACAGCUUAGAGCCCACAGGAAUUAUUCAAACUAGCGAAUCCUAAACUGUUUCCCCUGCCCUGCCUUGCCCUUCCUGGGGAAACCCCAAUACGGGCUCUGGCCUUGGUUUUAUCUUUGCUCCCGCUGUCUGUCUCCUGACUACCCUGAGGCUUCUCCAUGUGGACCUGCAUGGCGUGCUGUGCUUCCUGCUUCUAGGACCUGUGAGAAAGGUUGACACAAAAUAACCAAUGCACAUUCUUCAGUCAUGCGCCUCAUAACGACGUUUCGGUCAACGACAGACAGCCUAAUCAAAGGUGAUCCUAUAAGAUGAGUACCAUAUAGCCUAGGUGUGUAGUAGGCUGUACCAUCUAUGUUUGUUUUCUCUCUAGGAACAGGCUGACCACAGGCGGGAAACACACCUACAAGGUAUCCAUCACAGCUGACAGAAGAAUGGAACAAUGUGAUUCCUGGAGCCCGUCACACCUGGAGACCAUCAUCCCUGGACCCCCUCCUUAUGGCCCAUUUUCCCUAUAUAACUGCCUCAAGAUUCUGUAAUCUUUGAGACAUUAGUCACCUGUCUUCUGAUUUGCUGGCUAAUCUAAUUAAACUUUGUUUCUCCAUCUCUAACUCGUUGUGAUUAAUUGGCUCAG